rnacentral:lncRNA from 10 species
AUGAAAAAGAAGUGGUAUCACAAAUCUGCUUAGUUUUUUUGGACUUGAAGCGUAGAGUCGAAGGCUUUUGAGAUUCCACAAUGCUUGGGAGAAAAUGUGGAUGUCUCCAGGGAGGCCAUACCUAAUGAGGAGCUCCCAACAAAUGGCAACUGAUGUUACCUACAACCGAAUACGUCAAGAAGGAAACACACUCGCUUCAGCCUGCACCAACCAAAAUGACUGCUCAAAGGCCAUUCAGCCCCUUUAUCACUGUGGCUCAACUUUGAUUUUCUUCCCAGUUCAUCCAUGAUUCAGACUUCUUCUGUUUCAGGAGCUUUGCCCAUGCGUUCUGCCACCUUCUGCCAGGAAUUACACCUGUCCCAUCCCGUCGUCUCCUGAAUGUCCAGGUAAAGAUUUAUUUUUCCUUUGGGUCUCAAAAAUGUUUUAUUCUAGUCACCCUUCACUAGAUAUGGAUUCCCUGUUACAAACUAUAUUAGUUUCCUGAACUUACUGUAACAAAAUACCAUAGACUGAAUGGUUUAAACAACUAAAGUUAUUUUCUCACAGUUCUAAAUGAUGGAAGUCCUAAUGUUACCUGAAAGGGUCCCAAUCCAGACCCUUAAAGAGGGUUCUUGGAUCCCACUCAAGAAAGAAUUCAGGGAGAGUCUGUAAAGUGAAAGCAACUUU